GAUGAAGAACGUAGCAAAAUGCGAUAAGUAAUGUGAAUUGCAGAAUUCAGUGAUUCAUCGAAUCUUUGAACGCACAUUGCGCCCGCCAGUAUUCUGGCGGGCAUGCCUGUUCGAGCGUCAUUUCAACCCUCAAGCCCCCGGGUUUGGUGUUGGGGAUCGGGCUGUACUCCAGCCCGGCCCCGAAAUCUAGUGGCGGUCUCGCUGCAGCCUCCAUUGCGUAGUAGCUAACACCUCGCAACUGGAACGCGGCGCGGCCAAGCCGUUAAACCCCCAACUUCUGAAUGUUGACCUCGGAUCAGGUAGGAAUACCCGCUGAACUUAAGCAUAUCAAUAAGCGGAGGA
rnacentral:misc_RNA from 1 species